GACGAACGCUGGCGGCGUGCCUAACACAUGCAAGUCGACAUGAGUGGCGAACGGGUGAGUAAUACGUGGGUACCCUGCCCUCCUUUUUGGGAUAAGCCUUGGAAACGGGGUCUAAUACCGUAUAAAGGGGGUUGGGCUCGCGGCCUUUCAGCUUGUUGGUGGGGUGAUGGCCUACCAAGGCGGUGACGGGUAGCCGGCCUGAGAGGGGGACCGGCGACAUAGGGACUGGGAUACGGCCCAGACUCCUACGCGGGGCAGCAGUGGGGGAUAUUGAACAAUGGGCGAAAGACUGAUGCAGCGGCGCCGCAUGGGGGGUGAAGGCUUUCGGGUUGUAAAGCUCUUUCGCUAUCGAACAGGUAGGUGGAGAGGAAGCGCCGGCUAACUACGUGCCAGCAGCCGCGGUAAUUC
rnacentral:rRNA from 1 species